rnacentral:rRNA from 1 species
GACGAACGCUGGCGGCGUGCUUAACACAUGCAAGUCGUACGGUAAGGCCCUUUCGGGGGUACACGAGUGGCGAACGGGUGAGUAACACGUGAGUAACCUGCCCACAACUUUGGGAUAACGCUAGGAAACUGGUGCUAAUACUGGAUAUGUGCUCCUGCUGCAUGGUGGGGGUUGGAAAGCUCCGGCGGUUGUGGAUGGACUCGCGGCCUAUCAGCUUGUUGGUGGGGUAGUGGCCUACCAAGGCGGCGACGGGUAGCCGGCCUGAGAGGGUGACCGGCCACAUUGGGACUGAGAUACGGCCCAGACUCCUACGGGAGGCAGCAGUGGGGAAAUUGCACAAUGGGCGCAAGCCUGAUGCAGCAACGCCGCGUGCGGGAUGACGGCCUUCGGGUUGUAAACCGCAUUCAGCAGGGACGAAGCUUUUUGUGACGGUACCUGCAGAAGAAGCACCGGCUAACUACGUG